GGGUCAGUAGGUUGGUCGUGCCACCGGUACGUACUGGUCUCACUGAUUCCUCCUUCCUGAGGAACCGUAAUGCCAUUAAUUUGGUGUUGCGGGGAAACAGGACCGUUACUUUGAAAAAAUUAGAGUGUUUAAAGCAAGCUAACGCUUGAAUACAUUAGCAUGGAAUAAUGAAAUAGGACGAUCGAUCCUAUUUUGUUGGUUUCUAGGAUUGACGUA
rnacentral:rRNA from 1 species